CAGCGAGCAAACGUUUGCUCUCGCUCCACCCAGCAGCCCCCUACUAUUUAAAAGCUCUGGGGCUGGAGAGGCGUAAUGAAACAUGACCUGCUAAGCCGCGUGAUCCAGACAAAGCUUUCAUUGCUCUGACUGAAAUAGCUGACAAUGAAGACCGAUGAAGCUUUGGGAGCUGGAGAAGGUCCUCCUACUAACAGGACAAACCAAAGGAGGCACAGUAUUGUAUUGUAUCCCCCUGACAUGAGUUCAGAGCAGACUGAGAUCGGUCAGAGUGAUAAACCUGGGGGGCCCCUCGGCACCGUGAUGCACUGGAGGACGACUCUGACAACGUGGAUGAUUAUCAACUUUAAUGUGAUGUUCGACCAGGUUCUACAUUGGAUGUCCAAUGUAUUUAAGAAAAUGAGGGGAGAGGAGAUGAGAAGCUGAGUUAGAGAAUGUAUUGAUUUGGAGCCAUACCCUGCAGUAGUGUGAUUCGCUAAGAUGAAAUAAUGAAAAAAGUCAUAGAAAAAACAUGUACAGUAUAUUGCACUGGUUGUGUGGAACCUCCAAACCAGAAGACUGCAGGCACUGACCCUUUUUGCACUAUUUUGACUCUAUACUCGCAUCACAUACACUGCUGCUGCUAUUUAUACAGCCACGUUGUUGUUACUUAUUGUGUAUUUAUUCCUUGUGUUACUAUUUUUCUAUUAUAAUUUUUUAUUCUUUACACUGUUGGGGUGGACCUGUAAGCCUUUCACUGUUAGUCUACACCUGUUGUUUAUGAAGUGACAAAUGAAAUUGGAUUUGAAUGGAAGGAGAUCGAGAGAAGAUUAAGGUUCAGAGAACCGCUAGGGAGACUGGUAAACAAUGUGGGGGGAAAAACAACAAAAGGGAAUGGUGAGGGAAAAUAGUGCGUGAUUGUGACAGAUCGCAUGUGUGUAUAUAGAUUGUGGCAUUAUUGUAUGUAAUAUCUACUACUUUGUUGCUAUGUUUUCCAUUUGCUGCCAAAUAAACACAGUCCACUUAUACUGUA